AUUGAACGCUGGCGGCAGGCCUAAUACAUGCAAGUCGAGCGAGCGGCGGACGGGCGAGCAAUGUAUUGGCAUCUGCCCGACAGACGGGGAUAACUACUGGAAACGGUGGCUAAUAACGCCUACUAUCCGUUCAACCCAGAUGGGAUUAGCUAGUCGGUGGGGUAAAGGCUCACCGUGGCGACGAUGCCUAGCUGGUCUCAGAGGGUGAUCGGCCAAACUGGGACUGAGACACGGCCCAGACUCCUACGUGAGGCAGCAGUGGGGAAUAUUGCACAAUGGGCGAAAGCCUGAUGGAGCCAUGCCGCGUGUAUGAAGAAGGCCUUAGGGUUGUAAAGUACUUUCGGCGGGGAGGCGUUACCCGAAGAGGAAGCACCGGCUAACUCCGUGCCAGCAGCCGCGGUAAUAC
rnacentral:rRNA from 1 species